rnacentral:rRNA from 1 species
AGAGUUUGAUCCUGGCUCAGGAUGAACGCUAGCGAGACGCUUAACACAUGCAAGUCGAAUGUCGCAGCAAUGUGACAUGGCAGACGGGUGAGUAACACGUGCUUAAUUUGCCCCGGAGUGGGGGACAACAUCGGAAACGGUGAUAAUCCCGCAUACGUUCCACAAAAUGAAAAUAUGUGGAAGAAAGAUUUAUCGCUCUGGGAGGAGGGCGCGUCUGACUAGUUAGUUGGUGAGGUAAUGGCUCACCAAGACGAUGAUCAGUAGCUGGUCUGAGAGGACGAACAGCCACAAUGGGACUGAGACAAGGCCCAUACCCCUACGGGGGGCAGCAGUGGGGAAUCUUGCGCAAUGGACGAAAGUCUGACGCAGCGAUCUCGCGUGAAGGAUGAAGCUUUGCGGAGUGUAAACUUCUUUUCUGGGAGAAAACAACUGAUGGUAUCUCAGGAAUAAGGGACGGCUAACUACGUGCCAGCAGCCGCGGUAAUACGUAGGUCCCAAGCGUUAUCCGGAUUUACUGGGCGUAAAGCGUCCGUAGCCGGCUUUGUAAGUCCGCUUUCAAAACCCGAAGCUCAACUUCGGAUCGGGAGUAGAUACUGCAAAGCUAGAGAAAGAUAGAGGUAUGUAGAAUUUCCGGUGGAGGGGUGAAAUCCGUUGAUAUCGGAAGGAAUACCAAAAGCGAAGGCAGCAUGCUAUAUCUUUUCUGACGGUCAGGGACGAAAGUAUGGGGAGCGAACGGGAUUAGAUACCCCGGUAGUCCAUACCGUAAAUUAUGCCCGCUAGGUGUGCAUCUCGCAUUGCGGGAUGUGUGCCGUAAGCUAACGCGUUAAGCGGGUCGCCUGAGUAGUAUAGUCGCAAGGCUGAAACUCAAAGGGAUAGGCGGGGGAACACACAAGCAGAGGAUUGUCUCGAUUAAUUGGAUAAUAAGCCAAGAAUCUUACCCCGGUUUGACAUCCUUCAAAUUCUACAGAAACGUAGAAGUGCUCGGUUCGCCGAGAAUGAAGUGACAGGUGCUGCAUGGCCGUCGUCAGCUCGUGCCGCAAGGUGUCUGGUUAAGUCCAGGAACGAGCGCAACCCUCAUCGUUAGUUAGAAUGUCUAACGAGACUGCCUCGGUAACGAGGAGGAAGGAGAGGAUGACGUCAGGUCAUUAUGGCCCUUAUGCCGGGGGCGUCAGAGACAAUACAAUGGGUGGUACAGCAGGUAGCAAUGCAGCGAUGCGGAGCCAAUCCCUAAAACCAUCCUCAGUUCGGAUUGUAGUCUGGAACUCGACUACAUGAAGUUGGAUUUGCUAGUAAUGGUGGGUCAGCCACACCACCGUGAAUAUGUCCCUGUUCCUUGCACUCACCGCCCGUCACACCAUGGGAGUUGAGGCUCUCUGAAGAUCCGCCAUGCGGGUUAAAGGGAGAAUCAAUGACUGGGGUGAAGUCGUAACAAGGUAACC